rnacentral:rRNA from 1 species
GACGAACGCUGGCGGCGUGCCUAAUACAUGCAAGUAGAACGCUGAAGAGAGGAGCUUGCUCUUCUUGGAUGAGUUGCGAACGGGUGAGUAACGCGUAGGUAACCUGCCUUGUAGCGGGGGAUAACUAUUGGAAACGAUAGCUAAUACCGCAUAACAAUGGAUGACACAUGUCAUUUAUUUGAAAGGGGCAAAUGCUCCACUACAAGAUGGACCUGCGUUGUAUUAGCUAGUAGGUGAGGUAACGGCUCACCUAGGCGACGAUACAUAGCCGACCUGAGAGGGUGAUCGGCCACACUGGGACUGAGACACGGCCCAGACUCCUACGGGAGGCAGCAGUAGGGAAUCUUCGGCAAUGGGGGCAACCCUGACCGAGCAACGCCGCGUGAGUGAAGAAGGUUUUCGGAUCGUAAAGCUCUGUUGUAAGUCAAGAACGAGUGUGAGAGUGGAAAGUUCACACUGUGACGGUAGCUUACCAGAAAGGGACGGCUAACUACGUGCCAGCAGCCGCGGUAAUACGUAGGUCCCGAGCGUUGUCCGGAUUUAUUGGGCGUAAAGCGAGCGCAGGCGGUUUGAUAAGUCUGAAGUUAAAGGCUGUGGCUCAACCAUAGUUCGCUUUGGAAACUGUCAAACUUGAGUGCAGAAGGGGAGAGUGGAAUUCCAUGUGUAGCGGUGAAAUGCGUAGAUAUAUGGAGGAACACCGGUGGCGAAAGCGGCUCUCUGGUCUGUAACUGACGCUGAGGCUCGAAAGCGUGGGGAGCGAACAGGAUUAGAUACCCUGGUAGUCCACGCCGUAAACGAUGAGUGCUAGGUGUUGGAUCCUUUCCGGGAUUCAGUGCCGCAGCUAACGCAUUAAGCACUCCGCCUGGGGAGUACGACCGCAAGGUUGAAACUCAAAGGAAUUGACGGGGGCCCGCACAAGCGGUGGAGCAUGUGGUUUAAUUCGAAGCAACGCGAAGAACCUUACCAGGUCUUGACAUCCCGAUGCUAUUUCUAGAGAUAGAAAGUUACUUCGGUACAUCGGUGACAGGUGGUGCAUGGUUGUCGUCAGCUCGUGUCGUGAGAUGUUGGGUUAAGUCCCGCAACGAGCGCAACCCCUAUUGUUAGUUGCCAUCAUUCAGUUGGGCACUCUAGCGAGACUGCCGGUAAUAAACCGGAGGAAGGUGGGGAUGACGUCAAAUCAUCAUGCCCCUUAUGACCUGGGCUACACACGUGCUACAAUGGUUGGUACAACGAGUUGCGAGUCGGUGACGGCAAGCUAAUCUCUUAAAGCCAAUCUCAGUUCGGAUUGUAGGCUGCAACUCGCCUACAUGAAGUCGGAAUCGCUAGUAAUCGCGGAUCAGCACGCCGCGGUGAAUACGUUCCCGGGCCUUGUACACACCGCCCGUCACACCACGAGAGUUUGUAACACCCGAAGUCGAUGAGGUAACCUUUUGGAGCCAGCCGCCUAAGGUGG